rnacentral:lncRNA from 1 species
UCGCUAAGCCUCGCUUCCCUCUCCCCUUCACUUAUUAAUUAAGUGGAAAAUAGUCGUCGGCAUUCUAUAAGCGACUUGACCGAGUCUACGAAGCUUUGCUUUUCUUGUAGUCGGCCCGUAAUGCCUCCCUUCAUUUGCUUGCCUCCUUUCAGCUCAGAAUGCCUAAUGCCUAUUAUUUAAGAAGCUAACCGCCAUAAGCUCACCCUUCGGGUCUCGCUUCCAGCGCAGGAGGCCAAGCAAAUAACCGACUUGACCGAGUCUACGAAUCUUGGCUUUUCUUGUAGUCGGCCUGUAAUGCCUCCCUUCAUUUGCUUGCCUCCUUUCAGCUCAGAAUGCAUAAUGCCUAUUAUUUAGUGCUAGAAGCUAACCGCCAUAAGCUC